CUUUUGAGGGCUGCACCUGCGGCAUAUGCAGGUUCCCAGGCUAGGGGUCGAAUUGGAGCUGCAGCCGCCAGCCUACACCACAGCUACAACAACUUGGUAUCCGAGCCCUGUCUGCAACCCACACCACAGCUCACAGCAACACCGGAUCUUUAACCCACUAAGCGAGGCCAGGGAUCGAACCCUCAACAUCAUAGUUACUAGUUGGAUUCAUUAACCACUGAGCCAUGACAGAAACUCCCGGGUUUUUAAAUGCUUGAAAGUAAAUAAAGAGUAGGGGCUUUCAAGUCAUUAUUAGUGGCAACUUUUCUUUCCUAUCCCUCCUGGUUUCCAGGUAAAUAGAACGUCCAAGAGCAGCCCUUUCAUCUCUUGCCCCAUUUUCCUUCCAUGAAUUAAAAUUGCCUUUUUGAUUGGCAGGUGGUGCUUAUUUACUAAAAUCUAGAAGGAUGAAGAGCAGGGAUUUUCUUUCCUACUGCCCUGAACCACUGCAAACCAGGAAUCUAGGUAAAUGAAACUCCCCGUUUUCAGGUACACCACCUCAUGUGUCAGAGCCAAUGUGUGAUGAGGUAGGGGUGGAGGCAGAGGUCAAUGGACCAUUACAAAACCGCUUUCUUCCAAAACUUUAUCAGGAAACAAAAGGUAAUAUUUUCAAAUGUUAUCUGCCCAAUACAAUAGGCAUAUGUGGAUCUCUCAUCUCGACUCAGGCAGUGGAAGAGUAUCAAAUUCGCCUUUUAAAUCCUAACGAGGUGUUUCCAUUACUCUUACAGCUUACAUUUUGUUUUCCCCCAAAGACUUUUGAACAACAACAAAAAAAUCACAACUUUAAAUUAAGUUGGAUACUGAUGCUGCACUCACAUGACUCUGCCUCACUGGCCCAGCCUGACCUCAGCCCUGAUUCCAAUAAAACCUUCUGAACCAAAAUACGCAGUCAACCCCAAAGGUGUAGGGGGCUGAUUUGACUUUUUUAAAUAUUGAUUUAAAACAUGGAGUUCCUAUUGUGGCUCAGCAGAAAAAAAUCCAGCUAUUAUCCAUGAGGAUGUGGGUUUGAUCCCUAGCCUUGCUCAGUGGAUUAUAGAUCUGGCGUUACUAUAGCUGUAGUAUAGGCCAGCCGCUGCAGCUCUGAUUCGAUCCCUAGCUGGGGACUUCCAUAUGCCAUGGGUUGCAACCCUAAAAAGACCAAAAAAAUGCAUUAAAAUGUUAUCUUGAUUUCUGAAGUGUUAGAUGUCAUCUUAUACACUGUACUUGAAGCGAGUGCCUCACUCUCCUCACCCUAGUCCCAGCCACUCUGACUUAGAACUUUUUUCUCUGGGUGCUUCCUGGCAAUAGAGAAGCAAAAGGCUUGGGGAAACAGGGGCGAAGACAAUCAAAUGAUAGUGUCGCAUCUCUGAGAGACAAGCAUUUGGGUGCAGGAUACAAGGAAGACUAGAGUCCUUCCACAGAACUGGACUGCAGGCAGGAGUUCUCAUGCAACAGAGGUGGCUAAGUAUGGGAGGCAGGACUGGGCUGCCAGCGGGCAUCUUCUCCAUCCUUUGAAAGGGCUUGUGCGCAGAACAAAGCCAAUCAGAGACCAGCAGAGAUAAAAGCUUGGUAGAAAGAGCACAUGAAUCCAGUGGUACUAAGAUUCUUUCUAGUAUCUGAGGUCCUAGUUCUUCUAGUGGUUCCUUCAGGCACAUAAGCUAGUCCAGCUACAAAAACCUUCAUAUCUCCUUUAUAUUCAAGGUAAUUUGAAUUGGAUUUGUUCACCUGUGUCGAAAAGAAUCUUGAGCAAUUCGGGGAUCUCAUCAUUAGAGGAUUUUGAGGUCUAUUCUUAUUUUUCCUAAAUUCUUUGGUCCUGUCUGAGCCCUUAGAACCUUCAAUUCCAGGAUGGCAAAUCCCCCACAUAGAGAGCUAAGUAUUGUCCUAUGUCAAAUAGAAGAAUGUUUAAUAAUGUGACACAUUUCCUGUGGUCCAAGUCACCAAUUGUUUCCUAAUAUAUCUGACUUGGGGAGAGGCUGUGGAAUAAAAAAAAAAAUUACUACAAGGCCUUUAGAAUUCCUCCCCCACAUGUGCAGGAAGCUUAAUAAAGCUAAUAGCAGAGAAAUUCUACUUUGAGUGAACCCUACUGAGAAAAUUUGUCUUCAUAAAAUGUCAGGCACUUCACCCUACUCUCUCCAGGGAAACUGGAACUCAGAAUUAAUGAGGUUACAGAAACUCUUCCUCUAAGGGUUCCUGGCCAUAUCUGUGUUCUCUGAGUAGCUGAGUCCCUGGACCUACACAGAUGACAGGGCACUCAGCCCUUAUUCAUCAUACAACAUGAAACCUGUUUUGUUUUAUUUUUUAACUUAUCAUAAAAUAAGAUUGCUUGGGAAUUCCCUGCUGGCAUAGUAGUUAAGGAUCUGGAAUUGUCACUGCUGUGGCUCAGGUCAAUGCUAUGGCUCGGUGAACUUCCCCAUGCUGUGGACCUGGCCAAAAAAAAGAAAGAAAACACAAAGGUUACUUGCAAUGACACUCAGUCACUUUAAGUAGCUAGAGAUCUGUACACUUUUAUUUUAGAAUUCUUAAACUUUGUCUGAAUAGAGGGUAUGGUUUUGUACUGCCCUCCACAGGUGCCCGCAGCAUGGGGUCCAGGGGACUUAUUCUGUGCUCAAGCUAAGCUAAGCCCUAGGGAACUUCAAAAAACACAGACUGCCCUUUGCUGGCUCAAAGUGUGAAGCCAGUAAGGGUUUAUGGCAGAUUCUGGGAGCAUAGGACCCAGUCUAGACAAACUGUAAGUGAGAAAUGAGAGCUGCUGUGUAUAACAACUUAUACAACCUAUACCCAGAUGGUGCUAUAAUCCAUCCUUUAAUUUCUAACCAAUCUGUGCAUCCUGGAACCUUUAUAACUGCCCCACCUGGUGGGGAUCCGGGGAAGUGUUCCUUUUGCAAUUUAUCCAGGAAGAAGCAGGAUAUAAUUGAAGAUGUCCUAACGGGUGACAGAACCAGAGUUUAAAGUUUCUUCUCUCAACUAUACAACCAAAGCAAGGCAAGUAGAACCAUGGAACUUUCUGUCCAAGGGAGAACCACUCUGUUCCAAUGUCAAAUAAGAUAGCAAAGAGCAGCAAAUAACUUUGAUCACAAAAUGAAUCAUUCUGAUAUUCAAAUGAAAUUGAUAAAUAAUUUUUUUUUUUUUUUUUUUUUUUUGGCCAUCCCUAUGGCAUGCAGAAUUCCCCAGGCCAGGAAUCAAGGUGGCACCACAGCUAUAACCAAAGCUACUGAGGUUGCAAUGCUGGAUCCUUAACUUGCUAAGCCAUGAGGCAACUCCUCAUGACAUUUAUUUAUUAAAAACAAUUUGAAAAGCAUAUAUAUUUUAUACUUUGUGAAAACUUCACAGGCAUGCACCAGUUUUGAAGGGCAUUUUCCUGUGUGUGAAAGGAGAGAGAGAGAGAUUAGAUGUGCAAUGGCCACAGUCUUGCCAUACAACAGCCAAUUUUUAUAGUUAGGUGAACAAGCUUAUAAAUCAGGAUCUUGCUUAUACUGCUUAUCUAGAAGGAUAAGCAUGUAUUUGAUGAAGUACAAAAUAUAUGCUGAAUCUGAGUAGUAGAAAUCUAAAGUAUAUGAACUUAUAGAACUGUAUGCAUAUUUUUCUACACUUACAGUCAUUAAUAUCUUCAACAAGUUUAUAGAUUUAGAGAAAACACAGAUACCAUUACACCGCAUUGUUAGCCUCUUGUAACAUAUUUUGUGGGGUAGAUCUUUGGGGACUGCGCACCAGCAGUAUAAGGUACCAUAUUCUCUGCUAUCCUGAUGGGAGCACAGUAAUGCACUGAAGGCUCUGAAAUAACUCAGAGCAAUACUUCUGUCUCCUGUCCCCAGCCCAGCCCAGGCUUCUUACACUAUCAUGAAAACCAUAUUCCUGUACUUACCUCAGGCUCUUACUUCAGAGUACAAUGUGGCCUAGAGGAACUAAAAGAUUAAAGAUGGGACUGUAGGAAAACAGGAUUUAGAACCCAGGAAAAUGUUUCCAUGACUGAACAUGCACCUAUGCUACAAGCCAGAAAUUUCCACCCUAGAGUACCCAAGAGAAAUGAGAACAUAUAGUCACAUAAAGACUUGUAGUGACUCUACUUGUCAUGGUCAAAAGGUGGAAACAGCUGUCUAUCAACAGGUGAAUGGAUAAAGAAAAUGCAUUCAUUACAUUUAAGGUAAUACUACUUGACAAUAAAAAGAAAUGACCUACAGAGGUAUAUGGAAUAAUAGACCAACAAGGAACUGCUAUACAG
rnacentral:lncRNA from 1 species